rnacentral:rRNA from 1 species
UACGUAGGGGGCAAGCGUUUGUCCGGAUUCAUUGGGCGUAAAGGGUGCGUAGGUGGCGCUGUAAGUCGGGUGUGAAAUUUCGGAGCUUAACUCCGAAACUGCAUUCGAUACUGCGGUGCUUGAGGACUGGAGAGGAGACUGGAAUUCAUGGUGUAGCAGUGAAAUGCGUAGAUAUCAGGAGGAACACCGGUGGCGAAGGCGGGUCUCUGGGCCGAUACUGACGCUGAGCACGAAAGCGUGGGGAGCAAACAGG